AUGGUGCUUACAGCUCAAAACAACGGUCUUAUUAAAGGGUUAGCUGUCGAUCUUAUUGAGGAUGGGGUUGGCAUCCUGCAAUAUGCAGAUGAGAUGGUGCUUUGUUUUGAGCAUGAUGUUUACAAAGCUGUUAACAUCAAACUCUUGUUAUAUCUCUUCGAACUUAUGUCAGGUCUUAAGAUCAACUUUGAGAAGAGUGAAAUAUUUAGCAUCGGGGGGGAUAAUGAUACUGAUUUAGUUUAUGCGAACAUGUUUGGCUGCUAA
rnacentral:rRNA from 1 species